rnacentral:rRNA from 1 species
CGGUACGUACUGGUAUUGUUGGUUUCUCCCUUCUGACGAACCAUGAUGUCAUUUAUUUGGUGUUGUGGGGAAUCAGGACUGUUACUUUGAAAAAAUUAUAGUGUUUAAAGCAGGCUCACGCUUGAAUACAUUAGCAUGGAAUAAUGAAAUAGGACGUUUGAUUCUAUUUUGUUGGUUUCUAGGAUCGACGUAAUGAUUAAUAUGGAUAGUUGGGGGCAUUAGUAUUCAAUUGUCAGAGGUGAAAUUCUUGGAUUUAUUGAAGACUAACUACUGCGAAAGCAUUUGCCAAGGAUGUUUUCAUUAAUCAUUAACGAAAGUUAGGGGAUCGAAGACGAUCAGAUACCGUCGUAGUCUUAACCAUAAACUAUGCCGACUAGGGAUCGGAUGAUGUUAAUUUUUUAAUGACUCAUUCGGCGCCUUAC